AGGCUUAGGCUUAGGCUUAAGCUUAGGCUCAGGGUUUCCCUGAGGCUU
ensembl:ncRNA F58B6.7 ncRNA